CAUUAGCGAGAGAACUCGGCCGGGCCGCUGCUGGUCUCUAGGGACAUUGUGCACGCUCGUCUCCGAUUCAUCUUUUCACCCUUGUGCACCUUGUGUAGGCUUGGAAAAUGGAGCGUUUCUCAUUCGAAGGAGAAUGAUGUCUCAUUCUCAUUUGGCGUCGAGGAUGCUUUUGCCAUCCUUGUUUCAUGCGACGUUUUCCAAUCUUACAUAUCUUUUUGUAUAACACAAACGUCAUCAGAAUGUUAUCUGUCAUUUCAUGCAUACGAAUGUUGUGUGAAUAAAUGUACAACUUUCAACAACGGAUCUCUUGGCUCUCGCAUCGAUGAAGAACGCAGCGAAAUGCGAUAAGUAAUGUGAAUUGCAGAAUUCAGUGAAUCAUCGAAUCUUUGAACGCACCUUGCGCUCCUUGGUAUUCCGAGGAGCAUGCCUGUUUGAGUGUCAUGAAGUCAUCAACCAUCCUUUUGCUCGUGUUGAGCCGAAGGCUGGCUUGGAUUGUGGAGGAAUGCAGGCCUCUUCCGAUGAUGGGAUGAGGUCGGCUCUUCUGAAUUGCAUCGUCGGAAAAGGGUGGCGUCGCCUUGUCGGCUUUUGGUGUGAUAAUGAUAUUCCACCGGGCACCAAGCUGGUGAACGCACCCUUCCGUGUCUUGUGUGUGGGCCUUGGCUUUGAAAACUUUUGACCUCAAAUCAGGUAGGAUUACCCGCUGAACUUAAGCAUAUCAAUAAGCGGAGGAAGAGAAACUAACGAGGAUUCCCUCAGUAACUGCGAGUGAAGUGGGAAGAGCUCAAAU
rnacentral:rRNA from 1 species